UUGGUUGAUCUCUGGCAGAGUUCCCUGGCAUCUCUCAUGGUUUGUGGCGCACUUGUGUGCAAGUCACCAGCACUCAAGAGCUCUAAUUCUCCAGUCUCUCUAAAGUUUUUAUUUUCCUAUUCUUAUCUUUUGAAGUCUAAGGAAAUAUGUGGCCAAACAGAUUUAGGACUUUUAGGACUUUUUAUGAUGUGAUAUUAGUCUGAGGAAAAAAAGGUGAAAAAAAGGAAACGGUUGGAGGCUGCUGCCCUCCCUCACCUAACUUGUCUCUGAAUCCUCUACUCUCGCGGUGAAGCUGGGGCAAAAUGGCGGGUUUAUAUUCUCUCUGCAUUCUGUCCACAUUCUUCAUGAUCACGCUGGCUGGGGACAAGGCCAUGCUGUGUGAGGAUAAGGACAGUCUCCUGGCGGAGAUAGCUGGGAAUGUGGAAAUACCGUCGGAGUGUGUGCUGCACUGCACGGCACUGACAUAUGGCAGAAUGCUGCUGAGACAGGACACACAGAGAGUUCGUUUCAAAUACUCUGACGCACGGGAGGAUGGAAAGUACUGCUGGUCCACGUGCAUCAGCUGCAAUGCAGGAGAGAGCUUGCUUCAGAUUUACGUCGUCUUGCCUGUACACAUGUCAGUUUUCAAUGGAGAACUUCAAAUCACCUCAGAGAAUAUACUGAAACCUCACAGAGGGCAAGCACCUCUUCCUGAUGAAUGUGGCCUGCGCUUUGAUGUCAUGGGCUACUUCAGUGGGACAAAGCGCGAGCCAACAUUCUGUGUCAAGGUGCUUCCACAGUACCUCACCCUGGGAGAGGGCCUGCGAUGCCACCCUUUCCUUGUGACAGUUUGGCAAAACCAAAACCACUCCCCAGUCAGUCAAGGUGAGGGGUGACUGAGAAUUUGGAAUCUACUCAAGACAUCUAGAUUAAUUUGCACAAUCUUUGUUUCUUAAUACCUUAUAGGACAUCUUCAUCAGUGACCUGUUGCAAGUCUUUACAUAACAGAGAAUUAGAAGAUAAAUGGCUAGCUCUAGUGCAUGGUUGCAGAAUGCUAUUUAUAGUCUGAUUAACCCUUUUAUGCAUGGUGUCCACAUUUGUGGACAGUUAAUUCAACUCCAUUUUAUCAUGAUGAAGCUCUCCAAAUCAUUUAGGGGCAGUAUUGCAAUAUUGUAACGGUAGUUACCAUCUCAGUCCAAGAUGUUGGAUGGUGGAAGCUAUGCACAAACUGCUUCAGGCGUAUUUGUAAAAAAAAUUCAAAUUCAAAUAGGUCAACUUGGUUAAACAAAAAUAUUAGUAUGCACAGAAAACUGUGAUGAAUGUGUACUGAUUAAAUUGAGAGAAAAAUGUAGUCUUUAUUCUUUCUAAAACUGUCCAUUUGUGGACGUCAUGCAGCAGUGGACUCAGAAUACAUUAAGUCUUGUUUGUGUAAUCUGCUAUUAUAUCUAUAAAAUGAUUUAAAUGAGCUUGUAUUAUACCUAAACAGAAUGACAAUUGCAAUGAUUGCACAGAAUAACACAGUAUUCCAUUAAAUUCUCAAUGUACACAUGCAUACACAGACAUAUUGUAUUUUUAUUCAACAUAACUUUAAAAAGGCAUGAUAUUCCUUAUUGUCAUGUUAUAUGUAACCUACUAUUUACUCCUUUGUUGGAUGGUGUCCACAUGCAUGGACAGUUAAAUAACUUUUUAAACAGACUUUUGGAAAAAAAUUAAAUGACUUUCAGUUUCAGCAUAAUAAACACAAUCUUUAAAAACUCUGGAUAAUAUUU
rnacentral:lncRNA from 1 species